rnacentral:piRNA from 1 species
UAAGAUGAUCAUCUUACCUGCCUCUAAAAG